CAGUAAACUAUGACAUCGAUCACCAACCAGUCUCUGUAAAACAUUACUGUUGUUGAGAGAUUCAUCCCUUACCAACUACACUCACCAUUCUCUGCAUAACAACAACAAGACUGGCUGCUGCUACGUAUUGCUAGUAUCACCUAAAGGCUCUAUUUAUCUUUCAUGACUCACUCAACUUCCUUCAACAUACUUCAUCGUUUUCGUUUCCAACCUUUCCUUCUAACCUCCAUUGCUCCUCACAGGGAUUUUUGUACCCCUCCCGACAGAGGAACAAUCAAGAUCAUUUAUUCGCUGCAUUAAUUUUACAGAUUUCUUCUUUCAUUAUAUUGCAACAUUACUCUGUCACUCACUCAACAAAGACAAUGGCAAUUUUCGAUGUUCUAUUAGGAACAACAAAUGUAACAUUCUUCUAUGUCAUUUUGAUAUGGGUUUUAUUUGAUAGUUUAAGAUUAACCAAACUUGACAAUCUUCUACAUUUCAAACACAAACCAACACUUUUUGCUUCAAUCACUGUUCUUUUCAGUGCUAUUAUUUCCAUUUUGAACGUAGUUUUUGUUUUCUAUGAUUACACUAAUAGUGGGAUUAUAGGAUUUAACUCUGUUUCUUUAGCUUUAACAUGGGUUUUUGCAACUUUGGUUUCAUUUUAUUCAAUGAAGAAAACACUUGGGGAGUGUAAAAGAUUCCCUUUUGUUCUAAUUCUUUGGUGGGUUUUUGCCACUAUUGUUAAUAUAAUCUCACUUUCUUUAAAACUAGUCAAAAAUUCAGAUUUUUCUGUAUUUUUGUUGGAGGAGAACAUUGUUGAUUCAGUUUCUUUACCCAUGCUGUUACUUUUGUGUUUGAAUGCACUUCCUAAUGUGUGUGUAAAGGAACAAAGUGAAAUAGAACAAAGUUUACUUCACAAAGAGUAUGAACCUUCUUCCACUUUGGUAGAAGAAGAUCAAGAAGAGGCUUUAACAAAAGCUAGUAUAUGGAGCAAACUCACAUUUAGGUGGUUGAAUCCAAUUUUCAAAAUGGGUCGGGUUCAGAAACUUGAAUAUGUUAAUGUUCCUUCUGUUCCUCAAUCUGAAACUGCUUCUAGUGCUUCUUCUAUGUUGGAAGAAUCUAUUCGGAAACAGAAACUUGAAGGUGGUUCCUUGACAAAAGCUAUUAUCCAUUCUAUUUGGAAAUCCUUGGCCUUAAAUGCAAUUCUAGCAGGUGUUAAUACUAUUGCUGCAUAUACUGGUCCAUUGUUGAUAUCUAGCUUUGUGAAUUUUUUAUUGUCUAAUGAUAACAAUUCAAGCAUCCAGUAUGGACUGAUUCUUGCAUUCAUUUUCUUCCUCUCAAAGACUGUGGAGUCAUUGAGUCAAAGACAGUGGUACUUUGGUGCUCAAAGAAUCGGAAUUCGCGUACGUGCAGCUCUUAUGGCUCUAGUUUAUAGCAAGUCUCUAAUGAUUAAGUGUGGUAGUGGACCAACACAUGGUAAAAUAAUCAAUUUGAUUAAUGUGGAUGUUGAAAGAAUUGGUGACUUUUGUUGGUAUAUACAUGGAGUUUGGUUGCUUCCAUUUCAAAUAAUUUUGGCUUUGGUGAUUUUGUACAUAAAUUUGGGUUGUAUACCUUCCAUUGCUGCACUUGGUGUCACAAUUUUGGUCAUGGUGUGUAACACACCUUUGGCUAACAUGCAAGAAGGUUUGCACUCCAAGAUAAUGGAAGCUAAAGAUUCAAGAAUCAAAAUGACUUCAGAGACUAUGAAGAACAUCAGAAUACUAAAGUUGCAUUCAUGGGAAUCUACAUUUCUGCAUAAACUCCUCCAACUUAGGGACACAGAGAGAAAGUGGCUGCAGAAAUACCUCUUCACAUGCUCGGCGAUAGCCACUCUAUUUUGGACAUCUCCUACUUUGGUUUCUGUUUGCACUUUCGGAGCUUGUAUAUUGGUGAAAACUGAACUAACCGCAGCCACGGUCCUGUCAGCUCUCGCAACUUUUCGCAUUUUACAAGAACCGAUUUACAAUUUGCCUGAGCUUAUUUCCAUGAUAACUCAAACAAAAGUGUCUGUUGAUCGAAUCUACGAGUUCAUUAAAGAGGAAGAUCAAAACCAGUUCUUGAAUAGGAUUGCUCUUGAAGCUUCGACAAUCGCUAUUGAAAUUAAACCAGGUGAGUAUGCAUGGGAAGCAAAUGAUUAUCCAUCCCCCAAAAAACCAACAAUUCAUAUAACUGAAAAAUUAAUAAUAAAGAAAGGUCAGAAGGUGGCCGUUUGUGGACAAGUAGGAUCUGGAAAAUCAAGCUUGUUUUGCAGUAUGCUUGGUGAGAUUCCAUUGAUUUCCGGGGCUGCAACCAAAGUUUAUGGAACUAGAAGUUAUGUACCUCAAAGUCCAUGGAUUCAAUCUGGAACUAUAAGAGAAAAUAUAUUGUUUGGGAAACAAAUGAAUAAGGAGUUUUAUGAAAAUGUUGUAGAUGGUUGUGCAUUGCACCAAGAUAUCAACAUAUGGAGUGAUGGAGAUUUGACCCUUGUGGAGGAAAGGGGGAUAAAUUUAAGUGGAGGACAAAAACAAAGAAUUCAAUUGGCAAGAGCUGUUUACAAUGACUCAGAUAUUUAUUUCCUUGAUGAUCCUUUUAGUGCUGUUGAUGCUCAUACUGGAAGUCAUUUGUUUAAGGAAUGUCUUAUGAAACUUUUAUAUGAUAAAACUGUUGUUUAUGCUACACAUCAAUUGGAAUUCUUGGAAGCUGCAGAUCUUAUUUUAGUUAUGAAAGAUGGAAAAGUUAUUGAGUCGGGAAGGUAUAGAGAUUUGAUGGCAUGUCCUUAUAGUGAACUUGUGCAACAAAUGGCUGCUCAUGAAGAAACAGUUAACCAAAUUUCAUGCCAAGAAGAUGAUUCUGUUUGCUGUGGACCCUGCCAAAAAAAUCCAAAUGAAAUUGCAGAAGAAAAUAUUCAAGACAUCAUCAUGGAUUGGAAGAGGACGAGAGAAGAGGAAGCGAUGACAGGUCGAGUAAAAUGGAGUGUUUACUCAACUUUUGUCACAUCAGCUUAUAAAGGAGCACUUGUUCCUGUUAUUCUUCUUUGUCAAAUUCUUUUUCAAGUUAUGCAGAUGGGUAGCAAUUAUUGGAUAUCUUGGGCUACUGAAGAAAAGGGCAGGGUCAACAACGGGAUCCUUAUAGGAAUCUUCGCUCUUCUGUCUGGUGGCAGCUCCAUAUUCAUAUUGGGAAGGACUGUUUUAAUGGCAAUGGUUGCCGUCGAGACUGCUCAACGUCUUUUUCAUGGAAUGAUCAAAUCAGUUUUCAGGGCACCUGUUUCAUUUUUCGAUACCACGCCUUCGAGCCGAAUUCUGAGUAGGGCAUCUAAUGAUCAAAGUACAAUAGACACAGACAUACCCUACAGAUUAGCUGGCCUGGUCUUUGCACUUAUCCAGUUAUUGAGUAUCAUUGUCCUGAUGUCACAGGCUGCAUGGCAAGUCAUUCUUCUCUUUUUUGUGGUUCUUGCUAUCUCAAUCUGGUAUCAGGCUUAUUACAUCACGACGGCUAGGGAAUUGGCCAGGAUGGUGGGGAUUCGAAAGGCGCCAAUCUUGCAUCACUUCUCAGAAUCAAUUGCUGGGGCUGUCACAAUCCGUUGUUUCAAUCAAGAGAAAAUAUUCUUGACCAAGGUUAUGGCUCUAAUUGAUGAUUAUUCUCGGGUCGCCUUUCACAACUAUGCCACCAUGGAAUGGUUGUCUGUUAGAAUCAAUUUUCUCUUCAAUUUGGUCUUCUACUUUGUUCUCAUCAUCUUGGUUAGUUUGCCAAGGGAUGCCAUCAAUCCAAGCUUGGCAGGUCUUGUUGCUACUUAUGGUUUGAACUUGAAUGUGCUUCAGGCUUGGGUGAUAUGGAACCUUUGCAAUGUUGAAAACAAAAUGAUAUCAGUAGAGAGAGUAUUACAAUUCUCUAGUAUACCAAGUGAAGCUCCGUUAGUUAUACAAGAUUGUAGGCCCGAACAAGAGUGGCCUAGGGAAGGAAAAAUUGAAUUCCAUAACCUUCACAUACAGUAUGAUCCCGCUGCUCCAAUGGUUCUCAAAGGCGUCACUUGCAUCUUCCCGGGGAAGAAGAAAAUUGGAGUAGUAGGCCGAACUGGGAGCGGAAAAUCUACUCUGGUGCAAGCUCUCUUUCGAGUGGUCGAGCCUUUGGAAGGAUUGAUAAUUAUUGAUGGUGUACAUAUUUCCAAGAUUGGUCUGCAAGAUCUAAGAUCUAAGCUUGGCAUAAUUCCUCAGGAUCCGACCUUGUUUUUAGGUACUGUAAGGACUAACUUGGAUCCCUUGGAACAGCAUACCGAUCAAGAACUUUGGGAGGUUCUCAGCAAGUGCCAUCUCGCUGAAAUAGUACAGAAAGAUGCAAGACUUCUGGAUGCACCAGUAGCUGAGAAUGGAGAAAAUUGGAGUGUUGGACAGAGACAACUAGUUUGCCUUGCUAGGGUGCUACUGAAGAAAAGAAGAAUUUUAGUCCUAGACGAGGCAACUGCAUCGAUUGACACUGCAACUGAUAGUUUAAUUCAGAGGACUAUCAGGGAAGAGACAAGUGGAUGCACAGUCCUUACAGUAGCACAUAGAAUUCCUACUGUUAUUGAUAAUGAUUUGGUUUUGGUCCUUAAUGAAGGGACAAUUGUGGAAUAUGAUCAACCAACUCAAUUGCUACAGGAUAGUUCUUCUUCUUUCUCCAAGUUGGUGUCUGAAUUUUUGAGGAGAUCAUCCCAAAGUAAUUGUCAAAAAAAGAUAAGAGAAUAGCAUAGCAGUAGCAGAUCACCAUACAAUUAUUGUACAUAGAUAAAAAUUUAGGCAUAUUGCUGAGCAGAAUUAGUGAUGACAAUGGAUAGCAGUUCAAGAAAUGACUCAUUACAUUAACAACUUAAAGAUGAAGUCCAAUGUGGAUUGAAGACUCCUGAUCAAUUCAAAGGAUAAGUGCUUCAAAUUGAAUGGUUAUUCAUCAAGCUACACGAAACAAAGGCCAGUUAUGCAUGCUACUGCCGAUUCGACUAUUCAGCUAACAGUUCAACAAAAUCAGCAGUUACUUUCUCUGCUGCAGAACCUUUGUCGAUUAAUCAUCUUCUUCUGGUAUUUGCUAGAUGGACAAAAAGUACACCUCUUCAUUUCUUGGCUCAUUCACUCAAUCCUCCACAAUUCAACUGAAAGACUAGAGGCAACUAAAGAAUUUGUUAAAUUCUCGAUUGAUGAAGGAGAGUUCAGUCAAUUUGAUUCAUUGCAAGAUAGCUGAAACAUGAAACCAAAGGAAUGGUGAACCAUUUAUGGAUCAUCAAUCCAGAAAAAAAAUUGGAGCACAUAUUUAUUCAUCUACCAAUAAAAGAAAUAGGCUCAAUUCCAAGAGAGUUGUAGAUUUUGUUUUUCACACAAAUUUUUUCAGUGAUCGACUGUAAUUUUGUGAAAGCUACUACUUGUAACUUUUGAAAAUUACGACGACUCAUGAUUCAGACAACUCUACCGUAAUAUCAAAUAUGCAUUUGAUGAACCAAACAUGGAGAUUGUUCUUUUUCACUGAUGAUUGGGCAAGGAAUUAAUAAUAUUGAUGCUUUUAGAGUGUU